CCCAGACUCCUACGGGAGGCAGCAGUGGGGAAUAUUGCACAAUGGGGGAAACCCUGAUGCAGCGACGCCGCGUGAGUGAAGAAGUAUUUCGGUAUGUAAAGCUCUAUCAGCAGGAAAGAAAAUGACGGUACCUGACUAAGAAGCCCCGGCUAACUACGUGCCAGCAGCCGCGGUAAUACGUAGGGGGCAAGCGUUAUCCGGAUUUACUGGGUGUAAAGGGAGCGUAGACGGUGAAGCAAGUCUGAAGUGAAAGGCGGGGGCUCAACCCCCGGACUGCUCUUGGAACUGCGCGGCUGGAGUGCAGGAGGGGCAGGCGGAAUUCCUGGUGUAGCGGUGAAAUGCGUAGAUAUCAGGAGGAACACCGGUGGCGAAGGCGGCCUGCUGGACUGCGACUGACGUUGAGGCCCGAAAGCGUGGGGAGCAAACAGGAUUAGAUACCCGGGUAAAC
rnacentral:rRNA from 1 species